GUUGAACGCUGGCGGCAGGCCUAACACAUGCAAGUCGAACGGGUGGCGGACGGGUGAGUGAUGUCUGGGAAACUGCCUGAUGGAGGGGGAUAACUACUGGAAACGUUAGCUAAUACCGCAUACCAUCGGAUGUGCCCAGAUGGGAUUAGCUAGUAGGUGGGGUAAAGGCUAACCGAGGCGACGAUCCCUAGCUGGUCUGAGAGGCUGACCAGCCACACUGGAACUGAGACACGGUCCAGACUCCUACGGGAGGCAGCAGUGGGGAAUAUUGGACAAUGGGCGCAAGUCUGAUGCAUCCAUGCCGCGUGUAUGAAGAAGGCCUUCGGGUUGUAAAGUACUUUCAGCGGGGAGGCGUUACCCGCAGAAGAAGCACCGGCUAACUCCGUGCCAGCAGCCGCGGUAAUUC
rnacentral:rRNA from 1 species